rnacentral:lncRNA from 1 species
ACGAUCACAGAUCAAAAAUUCAUCACUAGGAUCAUUUAAAUUCAUCAUCAUUCUUCUCAAAAUUCUAAAAAAAUCUUAGGAGAGAAAUAAUCUAGAGAGAGAAAGUAGAGAGACUAGAGAGAGAAAGAGAAAGUAGAGAGAAGAAAAUAGGGAGAGAGAGAAAGCGAGAGUCUAUAUUUUUUUUCUAUUUUUCUUCUUCUUUUUUCUUUUCUUUUUUUUUUUUCUUUUCU